UUUCCUUCUGUUUAUCAUAAACAGAUGGAUGAUACAUCAACUAAUCAGUACUGCAAGUUUGACAGCCAGAUUUUGACACUUUUUACAUCAUCCCUCUAUUUGGCUGCCCUUGUAGCGUCCUUUUUUGCAUCAACAAUGACCAAGAAAUUUGGCCGGAGAAAGUCGAUGAUGCUUGGUGGAAUAAUUUUCUUGGUUGGUGCCAUAAUCAAUGCUGCGGCAGUGCACAUCAGUAUGCUAAUCAUAGGCCGUGUUUUAUUGGGCAUUGGCGUCGGCUUUGCCAACCAGGUAACUUACUUAAUUUGUAUCGGAGUUUAUUCUUCUUGUUAAUGCAAAAGUUGGAAUAGAUCAUCUAAUUUCUGUUCGAUUCUGUUAAUUAUGCAGUCAGUGCCUCUUUAUCUAUCAGAGAUGUCCCCGUACAAUUAUCGUGGAACUUUUAAUGUUUGCUUCCAACUGAUGAUCACAAUUGGAAUUCUGGUAGCCAACCUGCUUAAUUAUUUCUCUGCCAAGAUUGAAGGUGGCUGGGGAUGGCGGCUCAGCCUUGGAUUGGCUGGAGUUCCUGCCAUCGUCAUCAUCAUUGCAUCUUUUUUCCUCUCCGACACCCCAAACUCUCUCAUGGAUAGGGGAAAGGAAGACGAGGCAAAAGCACUGCUCAAACGCAUUCGUGGAGUUGAAAACGUUGAUGCUGAAUUCAAUGAUAUUCUUGCAGCCAAGAAUGAAGCAAGACUAGUACAGAAUCCAUGGCAAAACAUCUUAAAGAGGCGGUGCUAUCGUCCACAGUUGGUUAUGUCCAUCUUGAUCCCUUUCUUCCAACAACUUACUGGAAUCAACGUGGUUAUGUUCUAUGCUCCUGUGCUCUUUAAAACCAUUGGAUUUGGAAGCGAUGCUUCUCUAAUGUCAGCUGUUAUUACUGGCAUCAUAAAUGCCUUGGCGACUUUAGUAUCUGUUGCAUUUGCUGAUAAAUGGGGCAGAAGAACUCUGUUUCUUGAAGGAGGUGUCCAAAUGCUUAUCUUUCAGGUCUAACAUUAACUGUUUUUGUAUACCACAUGCACUCAUAUUAAUUAUACAUGGUCAUAGCUAAUGUAAGCUUUUGCUGAUUCUUGACGAUACAGAUUGCAGUUGCAGCUCUUAUUGGGGCCAAAUUUGGUGUGACUGGAGAUGUGACGCAGCUACCAAAGUGGUUUGCCAUGGUGGUGGUGAUAGGCAUCUGCAUCUAUGUCGCUGGUUUCGCAUGGUCUUGGGGGCCAUUAGGAUGGCUUUAUCCAAGUGAGAUUUUCUCGUUGGAGGUCAGGUCGGCAGGGCAAAGUGUUAACGUGGCAGUAAACAUGUUCUUCACAUUCUUAAUAGCUCAGGCGUUCCUUUCGAUGUUGUGCACGAUGAAGUUUGGUCUCUUCAUCUUCUUCGCAUUCUUUGUGGCAGUGAUGACAGUCUUUUGUUACUUCUUCAUGCCUGAGACGAAGAACAUUCCUAUUGAAGAAAUGACACAAGUCUGGAGAGACCACUGGUUCUGGAAAAGAUAUAUGAAUGAUCCAAACGAUCCAGUCAAUAAAGCAUUGGAGCUAACAAGGAUGGAACAAGUCUGAUUUUGUUAAUUCAAUUCUUCUUUUUCCUUUUCAGUUCUUACUUUUUGUGUUAGAAAUUAUCAUUCCAAAACUGUAAAUUUUCGUGUAGUUUUCAAUAUCAGUAAAAUUACACCCUUUCAUUAUUCAUUGGGUUCUGCUUUACUAUAUUUUUGCUGACAUCUACUGAUUGAAAUUGUGAUCAUAUUAUGCUUCAUACAUGAAAUAGAUAUUCUAAAAUUUCAAAUGAUAUGGAGAUCUCCUUUCUAAUACAAACUGCUAAAUGUCAGCUUCUAUCAUCAAAAAGAAGUAAUAUGCCGCGACAUUAAUAUUUCAUUAAAUCAGCUAUAUCUUAUAGUGAAAACACACUUUUUGGAACUGAUGGUGAUUUCAAGAUUACCUUGAGAUUCACGAAGUUGAAACUGCUAGCAAAUUCUACAGUACUGUAACUUCAAAUCAUCAGGAGUCGGAACAACAUUUCUUGAGGCCGGAAAGAUUGGAAAGCAUCUUAAUCAUCAUCUUCUUCUUCUUCCUCUGAUUGAAUAAUUUUAAACUAAUUUUUUUUUUUUUUUUUUUCAAUUGUGCUGUAAUAAACUUGACGUGCAUUUGGCGAUGCACACUAAAAAUCUUUGUUAAACACUUUGAGAGUGUUCGAGUGCUUUGUCAUCAAACUUGUCAUUCCCCACAAAAUUUGCUGAACUCUCAUUCGUGAGUUUUUGAAAUAUAUACUACAUUUAUUAUGUAAAAUUUACUCGAGUUAACAAUUUACAAGACGGUGCAUUACUUUACUUUAAUCUCAAGACUCGAAAUUUAUUUGUUUAAUACAAACUAUUCCACAUUCGAAAUUUUAUUAAGUUGCAAACGCAAAAUGGGGCCAACCUUGCCCAUUGAGUGCUCUAUAUUGGGCAAUUGACAUCACAAACUAUUAAAAUAGUUUAACCGCAUUCUAACUAGUUUGAUGCUUUGUAUCGAUUUGGAACAACGAAGAGUUUGAUGGUGGCAUCACGCGAUAGAAUUCAGGGACACGAUCUAGAUUGGCAUGAAUUGAUGAUUUGAGGCGGGCUGCGUCUGUUAGCAUUGAGAGCAUGCUGUCCAGCAAAUUUCAAUACUCGGAUUAAGUGAAAAACAGGCCACAUGGAAGGUACAUGAUGGCAAUUUCGGGUGGUUUCUGCUGUAGGCUUGACAACGGGACAGUUUUGGGCAGUUUCUAGUAUUAAAGGGCUGAAAAUUUGGGAAAACUGACCCAGCAGUUGGGGAUGUCAAAUGUAAUCCUGAUUUUCAUCUAUAUAUUCUAAAUGUUGGUGCAUUUAGAUGAUAUAGAACAGUGAAUGUGUGUGAUGAGGCUACAAUGACUGUGUUGAUCCUUCACUUAUUUUUGUACUUGGUCAUUUUCUUUUUUUAUUAAUAUGGAGUAGGAAAAUGUUUCUCAAUAAUAUGUGUUUUACUUUAUUGUUUCGAUAAAUUCCAUUUUCUAGUCUUUACAUAGUUCAAUUUGUGUGUUUUAGAGAUCCGAAAGUGUUAAAUUUGUACGUUGGCUGGUUGGGGACAAGAAACCUCGAUGAUAUUGUUGGGUAAUUGCUUCAAAAGUCAAAGUUAGAGGACUUUUAUUGCAAAUAAUAAAAGGUAAUGAUUGUAUGGAAUACUUCUAAUUAAAAUUGAAAACAGAAUUCUCACAGAUUUUGGUCUCCAUUUUUAUAGUCGAUUUUGAAGUCUUACACAUAAAAGUAGUUAUGGCAAAAAAACUCGCCCCGCCCCGACCCGACCUGACGAGGCCCGUCCUGAAUGAGCCAAAAAAACUCGUCCUGAGCGGGUUAGCGGGGCAGGGCGCCCCGUUGCGGGGGGCGGGGGCGGGGGCGUGAAGGAAAAAAAAAUUAAAAUAAUUUUAUUUCUAAACAAUUCACCGGUUAAAAACUCAUUUGGAAUUUUUUAUUUUAUUCUCUAAUAAUAACAUAACUCGAAACUUUGAAAUGUUUGGGAUAGAUGGGCACCCCGAACCCACCCCAUUGCCAUCCCUAAAUAAAGGUUUCCUUAUUUGAGUUGAAAUUGAACUCUUUUACUUAAUAAUUGAUCAUACAAAUAGAGGAUGUAUUUAUUAUUUCAUGUUUGUGGCCUAAGAGUUGAUUCGAGAGAGAAAUAUUGCGAAUUUAGCAUCUUGAAAGUUUUCAUACAAAAAUUAGAAAAGUGAGUGUGGUAAAGCACGAGUUUAUUUUUCUUUGUAAUAUUUGGAGAUUUAGUUUGCGAGUGAAAUUUUAUAUAAUUGUAACAAUUUUCAUACAGUGAAAGGCUUUGACAGUCCGAUUAACUUGUGCGUCAUAUUCUUUUUUACUAAUAUUCUCUUGAACAUCAAAUGAUCAUACGAGUAAAUAAAAAUAAAAGGAAUUGGCGUAAAAUUCCCAACAGAUAUUGCAGAUUUGUUGGAAAAGCCCCAUGACACCCGGCAUGUUAUGCCUUUCUUUAUCAUAGUGUUUCAAAAAUCGAAUUGGAUCGACUAGUCUAGAUCGAUAAACUAUUUAAUCGGGCUUCGGUCUAGUUUGGUGAAACGGUUGAACCAAGUUACAUGGAAGCUACCCAACCACUGUUACCACUCUGCCACAUUGGUUCCUAUUGUUAUAGAGCUUGUCAAAAAAGUGUUUAUAAAGGGUUUUGUAACGCCCCAAAAAUUUUGGAAUAAAAAUAUAUUUGUCUUAUAUAUUAUAGUUUUAAAAUUUGAGGAUUGAAAUGAAAUAGCGUUUAAAGUCAUAUUUUAUUUGGCACCAAUAAUUACAUUUUGAUAGAAUGAGUAUAAGUAUAUCAAUAUUGGGCUCAUUUUGUAUCUCGCAUUUAAUAACGUAUUUUCAGCUCAAGAAAAUAUGAGUUCUUUUAAGUUAAAACUAAGUUAUUUCAAUUCAAAGAAACAUAGAUAAUAAGCAUCGUUUUUAUUAUUUAACAAUAUUUCUUUUAAAAUAAUUAGGAAAAGAAGCUAGUAUUUUAUCAUAAUAAUCAAUGUUUAUCUUUUCUAUUAGAGAAAGAGAUUUAAUUAUUUUUAAUCCUUGUUUACAUUUAUCUGCCAAUAUUUUUGAUUUUCUGGUACUCGUGAUUUAAGUAGUUUACAAAGUAAUAUGUAGGGAGAGAUAUUUUUAGUUAACUAUGAUUGAUUGAUGUUUGGAUAAAAUAAUUUUCUCUUUGAUUAAAAAUUCAUUUGUUUUGAUUUGGAAUCCUACUUAGAAUAUUGAUUUAAUAUUUAUGACUUUUUGACCAUUCUAAGAUGACACACGUUUUUAGGCCUAGCUUUGAAUGAAUUGGUUAUUAUAUAAUAAUAUUUUUGGACAAUCUCUAGCCUCUAGGCAUGAUGCAUGGCAAUCAUACCUUGUACUCUCAAUUGUGUCAAUUGCCUUUAAAUUAGAAUUGGUAAAUUUCCUUAUGAUAAGAGUAUGGGUAGCCACACGUGCAUGCACAUUUCCAACUCUCAAUUAGGAUAAAGGCUAAUUUUAAUUGCUAAUUGAAUUUGAAUAAUGGUAAGACACGAUUUGGGGCCUCUAACAAAUUUAGUUAUUUUGGGCAUAUAGUCCAAUUAAGCUUAUAAUAUACUAUUUAAUUAUUUAUUUCAUUUUAUAUGAUGAUAUGAUAACCUGUCAUUUUAUGUAAAUUGACACUAACUUGACCAUUCUUAUGUUAAAUAGAUCCUAAUUAAUUUAAUUUGAUUGAUAUCCAAACAAAGAGUUUUUGUAAUUGGACAGAUUAAUGAGCUAAUUGACGAGAUUUCUGUUGGUUAGAUUGCAUAAUUACCCUUUAUAUAUUUUUAACAAAUUUGGCAGUCAAAACCUUUCUUAAUUUUACACCUCCCUUACACUAUAAAUUCAUUCCAAAUCCUCGAAAAUUUAUGAGAUACAAAACCACUCUCUUCCAUCUUCACUUAACUCUCCACUGCCUGUCCAAGUCUCCAUUCCAGAAGUGUUCUCUUUGUAUUGUCGGAAACGGGUUUUAAUACUCUUAGAAAGGAUUUUGGCACGUGGAAUUACCACUGGAUCGACCUUAAAUCCACAAGACACGACAACAACAAAAAGGUUUUGGGAACGUGAAUUCCUUACUUUUCUAUUAUCAAUCGAGGUAGGAUACUUUAUGUGCAAGUUGUUCUGUCCUUUCAAUAUUAUGGUUUUUGACGUGAUUUAUUUCAUGAAAUGCUAAUCGACCUACGGGUCCAAUGAAAUGAAAUGAAAUGUUCGACUAAGAUGACACACGUUUUUAGGCCUAGCUUUGAAUGAAUUGGUUAUUAUAUAAUAAUAUUUUUGGACAAUCUCUAGCCUCUAGGCAUGAUGCAUGGCAAUCAUACCUUGUACUCUCAAUUGUGUCAAUUGCCUUUAAAUUAGAAUUGGUAAAUUUCCUUAUGAUAAGAGUAUGGGUAGCCACACGUGCACGCACAUUUCCAACUCUCAAUUAGGAUAAAGGCUAAUUUUAAUUGCUAAUUGAAUUUGAAUAAUGGUAAGACACGAUUUGGGGCCUCUAACAAAUUUAGUUAUUUUGGGCAUAUAGUACAAUUAAGCUUAUAAUAUACUAUUUAAUUAUUUAUUUCAUUUUAUAUGAUGAUAUGAUAACCUGUCAUUUUAUGUAAAUUGACACUAACUUGACCAUUCUUAUGUUAAAUAGAUCCUAAUUAAUUUAAUUUGAUUGAUAUCCAAACAAAGAGUUUUUGUAAUUGGACAGAUUAAUGAGCUAAUUGACGAGAUUUCUGUUGGUUAAAUUGCAUAAUUACCCUUUAUAUAUUUUUAACAAAUUUGGCAGUCAAAACCUUUCUUAAUUUUACACCUCCCUUACACUAUAAAUUCAUUCCAAAUCCUCGAAAAUUUAUGAGAUAAAAAUCACUCUCUUCCAUCUUCACUUAACUCUCCACUGCCUGUCCAAGCCUCCAUUCCAUAAGUGUUCUCUUUGUAUUGUCAGAAACGGGUUUUAAUACUCUUAGAAAGGAUUUUGGCACGUGGAAUUGCCACUGGAUCGACCUUAAAUCCACAAGACACGACAACAGCAAAAAGGUUUUGGGAACGUGAAUUCCUUACUUUUCUAUUAUCAAUCGAGGUAGAAUACUUUAUGUGCAAGUUGUUCUGUCCUUUCAAUAUUAUAAUUUUUGACGUGAUUUAUUUCAUGAAAUGCUAAUCGACCUGUGGGUCCAAUGAAAUGAAAUGAAAUGUUCAACCUGCGGGGCUCUAUGAAAUGAAAUGAAAUGUUCGACCUGCGGUUCCCUACGAAAUGAAAUGAAAUGUGAGAUCGCCUUCGGGUCUUCUCAAAUUGUAUUAGAGCUUUCGACUGAUCACCGAUUGCUCUUGACGAAAUGUUGGUAUUAAAUGUUACGAGUUUACGUUUUAAAUUAUUAUAUUGUUUGGACGCACGUAUCCUACUGAGUGUAAUUACUCACUCCUUCAAUUUCAAUAUUUCAGAUCAGUACGGUCAACGUGGAUGGUAGCUGAGCGGUGCGCGGGUUGCCAAGUAAAGAAAAACUUCGCAAGAAAACGUUUUAAAAUAAUUCUGUUAGGAUUAUGUGCUUCAAUUUAAUUCUGUCUAAUGUUCUAUGUUUACGCGACAUUUUGUUUAUUCAAUUUGGUAUUUGAGUAUUAAAUAAAUCAAGAGUUUUAAAUUUCGAAUUAAAUAUUUUCGCUUUACGUAUGUGAUACGAAAUGAUAUUGGUAACACCUCAAAUUUUAAGUCGAUAAAAAUUUAGGGCGUUACAGGUUUUGUUUAUAAUAGCUAGAAAUGCAUGAUAGAUAAAUGUAGUACUUUUAAUAUCACGAAAUAUGUGAAUAAGAAUUGGUUUAACCUUUUUUGCCAUUUAUAAACUGUUUAUUAAAAUUAAAACUUGCCAAAUAUGGCUAUAAUUUUCACAUAUUAUGUUUAUUUUUGUUUUAAAAAAAGGAAAAAAAAAAGUUAUUUUCCUUUAAUCACAUUUUGAAAAAUUAUAAAUUAAAGACGAACUUUGAAAGAGAACCAAAAGCUAUAAAAAAAAAUAAUAAUAGUAAUAAAUAAAAGUUGCAAUCAGGAAAUACAAAAGUUAGAAGAAUUAUUAGUUGUAAUUACUAUCAAAUUACUGUUUUAACUGAUCCAUUCAUCUUAUUUUUGUUAAAAGAUAUAACUUAUUUAAACUAGGUGAUCCACCAACCAAGUGCAUUUCUUGAGUCAAUUACCCGUUCGGAUUUAAACUUUGACACUAUUAUUUUGAAAAAUCCCUACUUAUCAUUCUUUAUAUAAUUGAUUAUGAUAAUCGAAGGAGAUACAUUUUGAAUAUUUAAGCGUUCGUUUGAAUACAAAUUUAUAAAUGGUUUAUAAAUUUAGUCAAAAUUAAAUAUUAAAUGUAACUACACGUUUAUAAUUAUUACUAAUUAUUAUCCAUAUAUUAUGUGCAACGCACUACUAUUUCUGUUAAUAAUUUAGUUUAUAAAUAAUUUGUGAAUUUACCAAUCCGAGCUAAAAUUUUGAGAAGUGGAACAAUUAUUGUAUUAUUUGUUGAACUCCUCGUAAACUAAUAAGCCAUUAACAUUAGGAUUUAAAUAUAAUAUUAUCUGAAAUAAUAAAAGUAAAAUAGAACAUUACUCUUUCCAAAUUAGAUUUGAGAGAAAUUAAUGAUUUAUAUUAAAUACAUUCAAAAGGAUUGGCGUUCUCUUAUGGAAACAAAAAUAGUUUCGGAAAGCAGCAACGGAUCAAUUACCUUAAAUGGUUAAAUUCUUGUUGGACCAGGAUUUGGAUAAACACCAAAAAAUAGGAAUCCCAGUCAUGUUCAUGUCGGAAUUCCAGUGUCUCUCUGUGUUAUACUCCUAAACAAAAUAGCCUUUUUCACCACUCAGGUCUCUAUAUAUACCAACGCAAUUUCGAGUUUUCAACACAAAUUAAUCUUUGCUUUCUCUUUGUUUGUCUGUGUUCUGCAUUCUGAGAUGGGUGGUGUUGCUAUUGCGGUUAGCCGGGGCGGCAGUGGUGAUGAUCCUACUAAGUACCCUGGAAAACUCACAUGGUAUGUGGUAAUAACAUUAAUGGCUGCAGCCAUGGGAGGAUUGAUCUUUGGAUACGAUAUUGGAAUAUCAGGUAUAAAAUUUGGCCUUGUGAUUCUUUGUCAUGGUUUUGAUUAUUCAAGAAGAGUUCUGGUUCAUGUUUCUUGGUUUUCUUGAUGCAGGUGGAGUUACUUCCAUGGCGCCUUUUCUGAAGAAAUUCUUUCCAUCUGUUUACCAUAAACAGAUGGAUGAUACAUCAACUAAUCAAUACUGCAAGUUUGACAGCCAGAUAUUGACACUUUUUACAUCAUCCCUCUAUUUGGCUGCCCUUGUAGCGUCCUUUUUUGCAUCAACAAUGACCAAGAAAUUUGGCCGGAGAAAGUCGAUGAUGCUUGGUGGAAUAAUUUUCUUGGUUGGUGCCAUAAUCAAUGCUGCGGCAGUGCACGUCAGUAUGCUAAUCAUAGGCCGUGUUUUAUUGGGCAUUGGCGUCGGCUUUGCCAACCAGGUAACUUACUUGAUUUGUAUCGGAGUAUAUUCUUCUUGUUAAUGUAAAAGUUGGAAUAGAUCAUCUAAUUUCUGUUCGAUUCUAUUAAUUAUGCAGUCAGUGCCUCUUUAUCUAUCAGAGAUGUCCCCGUACAAUUAUCGUGGAACUUUUAAUGUUUGCUUCCAACUGAUGAUCACAAUUGGAAUUCUGGUAGCCAACCUGCUUAAUUAUUUCUCUGCCAAGAUUGAAGGUGGCUGGGGAUGGCGGCUCAGCCUUGGAUUGGCUGGAGUUCCUGCCAUCGUCAUCAUCAUUGCAUCUUUUUUCCUCUCCGACACCCCAAACUCUCUCAUGGAUAGGGGAAAGGAAGACGAGGCAAAAGCACUGCUCAAACGCAUUCGUGGAGUUGAAAACGUUGAUGCUGAAUUCAAUGAUAUUCUUGCAGCCAAGAAUGAAGCAAGACUAGUACAGAAUCCAUGGCAAAAUAUCUUUAAAAGGCUGUGCUAUCGUCCACAGUUGGUUAUGUCCAUCUUGAUCCCUUUCUUCCAACAACUUACUGGAAUCAACAUGGUUAUGUUCUAUGCUCCUGUGCUCUUUAAAACCAUUGGAUUUGGAAGCAAUGCUUCUCUAAUGUCAGCUGUUAUUACUGGCAUCAUAAAUGCCUUGGCGACUUUAGUAUCUGUUGCAUUUGCUGAUAAGUGGGGCAGAAGAACUCUGUUUCUUGAAGGAGGUGUCCAAAUGCUUAUCUUUCAGGUCUAACAUUAACUGUUUUUCUAAACCACAUGCUCUCAUAUUAUUUAUACGUGGUCAUAGCUAAUGUAACCUUUUGCUGAUUCUUGACGAUACAGAUUGCAGUUGCAGCUCUUAUUGGGGCCAAAUUUGGUGUGACGGGAGAUGUGACGCAGCUACCAAAGUGGUUUGCCAUGGUGGUGGUGAUAGGCAUCUGCAUCUAUGUUGCUGGUUUCGCAUGGUCUUGGGGGCCGUUAGGCUGGCUUUAUCCAAGUGAGAUUUUCUCGUUGGAGGUCAGGUCGGCAGGGCAAAGUAUUAAUGUGGCAGUAAACAUGUUCUUCACAUUCUUAAUAGCUCAGGCGUUCCUUUCGAUGUUGUGCACGAUGAAGUUUGGUCUCUUCAUCUUCUUCGCAUUCUUUGUGGCAGUGAUGACAGUCUUUUGUUACUUCUUCAUGCCUGAGACGAAGAACAUUCCUAUUGAAGAAAUGACACAAGUCUGGAGAGACCACUGGUUCUGGAAAAGAUAUAUGAAUGAUCCCAACGAUCCUGUCAAUAAAGCAUUGGAGCUAACAAGGAUGGAACAAGUCUGAUUUUGUUAAUUCAAUUCUUCUUUUGCUUUUUCAGUUCUUACUUUAUGUGUUAGAAAUUAUCAUUCCAAAACUGUAAAUUUUUGUAUAGUUUUUAAUAUUAGUAAAAUUCCACACUUUCAUUAUUCAUUGGGUUCUGCUUUACUAUAUUUUUGCUGAUAUCUACUGAUUGAAAUUGUGAUCAUAUGAUGCUUCAUUCCGAGUAUAGUUUUGUACUUAUACAUGAAAUAGAUAUUCCAAAAUUUCAAAUAAUAAGGGGAUCUCCUUUCUAAUACAAACUGCUAAAUGUCAGCUUCUAUCAUCAAAAAUAAUUAAUAGGCCGUGACAUUAAUAUUUCAUUAAAUCAGCUAUAUCUUAUGGUGAAAACGCACUUUCUGAAACUGAGGAUGAUUUAUAGAUUACCUUGAGAUUCAUGAAGUUGAAAAUGCUAGCAAAUUCUACAGUACUUUAACUUCAAACCAUCAGGAGUCGAACAACAGUUCUUGAGGCCGGAAAGAUUGGAAAGCAUCUUAAUCAUCAUCUUCUUCUUCCUCUGAUUGAGUCAUUUUAAACUAAAGUCUUUUUUUUGUCAAUUGUGCAGUAAUACACGUGCAGUAAUUUGGCGAUGCACACGAAAAAUCGUUGUUAAAACACUUUCAGUGUGUUCGAGUAUUUUGUCAUCAAACUUGUCAUUCCCCACAAAAUUUGCUGAACUCUCAUUCGUGAGUUUUUGAAAUAAAUACUACAUUUAGUAUGUAAAAUUUACUCGAGUAAGAAUUUACAAGACGAUGCAUUACUUUACUUUAAUCUCAAGACUCGAAAUUUAUUUGUUUGAUUAAGUUGUUGGAAAAUUGGAAUAAUUAGAUUGUUUGACCAACUUUUGAUCAAUCAUUUAAGUGGGUUCCGUUAGUUGGAUAAAUGAUUUAUUUGGCCAAGUGCAUUCUACUCCAUGAGUAGAAUUGAUAUAUGUAUUUAUUUCUCAAAACUAAUUAAAGUUGAAUGAGAAAUUAAAGUCAAAAGAUGACCACUUGAAGUUGAAAUAAAUUGGGAAUAAAGAUUGGUGGAAAAUUGGAAAGUGCCAAUCCCACAUAGGAUAUAAACAACUUUAUAUAACUUAAGUUAAGGACUAGUCUUUAGAGGGGAGAGGACCUACAUGCUAGUAAAUUCAACUAAAGCCCGCACGCGCACGCCGUCGCCGUCCGUCCGAACAGCCGGCUCGGCCCGAGUCAAAGUCGGGGGUUUGGGUCAGUUGGUAUAUAUAUUUUUGGUAAAAUAAUUAAAUAAUAUUUUUUAUUAUAUUAUUUAUUUUUUCUUUCCCGAAUUUUCUAUGCGGGACACGUGGAUUCUUCUAGAAGCUGGCGAUUGGUGACAAUUUUAACUGCCUGUCCAAAUGGAUUAUGUCUAUUCCAAAACACAACAUUUCGGCUAUUGUGUUUUUUGGGCACAACCUUUCAACUUCUAUAAAUAGACCCCAGAUCCCCGAUUUUAUUCACUCCAGAAAAUUUAUUCUACUUCACUUAUCCUACAAUAUUGUCCUUCCGUCCUGCAAUAUUCCAUACAUUUACAUUUCAGUCCCAAAUAAUAUUUUCGUGCAUUUUAGUCCUCCGAUUCUCAAGAGAUCAAAUAUUAGUAGGUUCGUCGGGUCUUGUAAUUUGGAGUGCUGCUAUUACAAGUCGAGGUCAUUGUAUCUUGGGAGGCGAGUGCCAGGAGACUGUCAGCACCAGUGCGGGGCAUUUUCGUCUCAAGGAGAAAGAGUCGAACUCUUACCUCGACCAUUAUUCAUUCUAAUUUAUUGCGCUAAUUUUGUAAGUCGAAAUUCUACCCGAAUAUUUAUUCGCUAUCUAAAUUACCGCACAACAUUUUUGAAGAUUUUCAACAAUCUUAAGAAGAAAUUUUUUUUUAUUUACGUGCUAAUUUAUAUUCUAAAAAUUUGUUAGAUUAUGGCAAGUAACAACACAUCCGUCGUACCCUCAAACAAUGCUCACGGGGAGAAACCAGAAAAAUUCACAGGAGUGGAUUUUAAAAGAUGGCAAUAGAAAAUGAUGUUUUAUUUCACAACUCUAAAUUUAGCAAAAUUCUUGAGUGAAGAUGCUCCAACUGUUGAGGAGGAAGAAUAAGAUUCUAAAAAAUGAGCAGCAUUCGAUGCAUGGAGUCAUAGUGACUUCUUGUGUAAGAACUAUAUCCUCAACUGUCUUGACAACACACUAUACAGCGUAUACAGUUCAGUCAAGACAACUAAGUUACUGUGGGAAUCAUUGGAAAAGAAGUACAAAAUGGAAGAUACCAGAUUAAAGAAAUUCGUUGUGGGCAAAUUCCGAGAUUUCAAGAUAAUAGAUUCGAAAACAAUGAUGAAUCAAAUCCAAGAGCUGCAAAUCAUCUUGCAUGACAUACAUGCAAAAGGUAUGAAGCUCAGUGAGUCAUUUUAGGUCACCGCUAUUAUUGAGAAAUUACCUCCAAUGUGGAAAGAUUUCAAGAACUACCUGAAACAUAACAUAAGGAAAUGAGAUUUGAAGAUCUGAUUGUAAGAUUAAGAAUUGAGGAAGAUAAUUGAAAUUCUGAGAAGAAGUCUGGAAAGUUGCAUAUGGAGGCUAAAGCCAAUUUCGUGGAGUCAAAUACUAACAAGAAAAGAAAACACUUAGAUAAUGACAAGCAAAAAAAAAACAAGACUAAUAAAUUCAAAGGAGAUUGUUAUAACUGCGGUAAGCCUGGUCACUUCACAAAGGAUUGUCGACAGAAAAAAGCAAAAUAAAAAGGACCAAAUACACUUGACCGAGGAAGACAAAUUGUCUAACGGUGUGUCUGAACUAAUGCUUUCAGCUGUUGUAUUUGAAGCAAACAUGGUGGACAAUUCAAGAGAAUGGUUCGUAGACACAGGCGCUACUCAACAUGUUUGCGCCGAUAAGGAGAUGUUUUCAUGUUAUACUCCUAUCAAUGGACGACAAUUAUUUACGGGAAACUCGGCAACAUCCAAAAUUGUUGGUCUAGGUAAAGUAGUGCUGAAGAUGACAUCAGAAAAAGAAGUAACUCUCGUCGAUGUGUUGCAUGUUCCUGAUAUUAGCAAAAACUUGGUAUCUGGAGUUUUGUUAAGAAAAAAUGGGUUUAGGCUAAUAUUUGAGUCUGAUAAGUUUAUACUUACCAAAAGUGGCAUGUUUGUGGGCAAGGGGUACUUAGCCAAUGGGCUAUUCAAAAUGAAUGUAAUGCCUAUACUUCGUGAUUUUGAUAUUAAUAAAAAUAAAUUUUCUGCUUACUUUAUUGAAUCCUCUAACUUAUGGAAUGAUAGAUUAGGACAUGUUAAUAUUAAAACUUUACGUAAAUUAGUAAGUUUAAAUCUAUUGCCUUCAAUUUCAUUUCAUCAAUAUCAUUGAUGCGAAACUUGUGUAGAGGCUAAAUUAGCUAAAACACCAUUUCAUUCAGUUGAAAGGAACUCAAAUCCUCUAGAACUCAUUUAUAGUGAUAUCUGUGACUUAAAGUUCAUACAAACUAGAGGAGGAAAAAAAUAUUUUAUUACUCUUAUAGAUGACUGCACUAUGUACUGUUAUGUAUAUUUGCUAAGAAGCAAAGAUGGGGCCUUAGAAGUGUUUAAACAGUACAAGAAUGAGGUUGAAAAUCAACUUAGCAAAUGAAUGAAAGUUAUUCGUAGUGACAGAGGUGGAGAAUAUGGGGCAUCGUUUGAAGAAUUUUGUUCUGUUGGGAUUAUUCAUCAAACUACAGCACCUCGGUCAAAUGGUAUUACUGAACGCAAAAAUCGUACUCUUAAAGAGAUGAUGAACACUAUGUUAAUCAGUUCUCGUUUACCUUAGAACUUGUGGGGGGAAGCAAUUCUCUCAACAAACCACAUUCUAAAUAAAUUACCACACAAAAGUAAGAACGAAACUCCUUAUGAGUUAUGAAAAUGUCAUAAACCUUCGUACAAAUACUUAAAAGUGUGGGCGUAUUUGGCUAAUGUAGAAGUACCAAAACCUAAACAAGUUAAAAACCUAAAUAAGUUAAAAUAGGGAAAAAAACCAUCGAUUGUGUAUUUAUUGGAUAAGCCAAUAAUAGUAUUGUGUAUCGAUUCCUCGUACAUAAGUCUGACAUUCCAGACAUACAUGAAAGUACUAUUAUUGAAGCAAGGAAUGAUGUAUAUUUUGAGGACAUUUUUCCUUGUAAGGAUAGGAAAGAAAUUAGUUCACAAAAACAAACUUAUGAUACUAUAAUUGGUAAUCAUCAAAGUGAUGAAUAACCCAGACAUAGUAAAAAAUCCAAAACAGCUACAUCCUUUGGUCUAGAUUUUCUAACUUAUUUGUUAGAAAAUGAACCUAUGUCAAGUCCAGAAGCUCCAUUCUGGAAAGAGGUCAUCAAUAGUGAAAUUGAUUCUGUUAUGCAGAAUCAUACAUGGGAGAUGAUGGAUCUCCUACCAAAUAACAAACUGUUAGGUUGCAAAUGGAUUUUCAAAAGAAAAUUAAAAAUUAGUGGAUCAAUUGAUAAAUAUAAGGCCAGAUUAGUAGCUAAAGGAUUCAAACAAAAAGAAGGUCCUGAUUUUUUCGACACAUACUCUCUCGUAACAAGAAUAACGUCUAUUAAAGUAUUAAUUGCAAUCACAGCAUUGCAUAAUAUGGAGAUCCAUCAGAUGGACGUUAAAAUAGCCUUCUUAAAUGGAGAGCUAGACAAAGAAAUUUACAUGGAAUAACUUGAGGGGUUCACUGCUCUUGACAGGAGAAAAAGAUGUGUAGACUCGUUAAGUCACUAUACGGACUAAAGCAAGUACCAAAAUAGUGGCAUGAAAAAUUUGACAAAACUAUGUUGUGAAAUGGCUUUAAGAUUAACGAAUGUGAUAAAUGUGUUUAUAUUAAAACCACACCCAGUGCAUAUUUAAUUGUAUGUCUCUAUGUUGAUGACAUGCUAAUAAUGAGUAAUAAUCUUGAUAUCAUAAUAACUACCAAAAAAAGUUGACAAAAUAUUUUGACAUGAAAGAUAUGGAUAUUGCAGAUGUAAUAUUAUGAAUAAAAAUCCUUAAGACAUCUGAGGGACUUGUUCUAUCUCAAUCUCACUAUAUUGAGACUGUGCUUAAGAAAUUUUAUGUAUAUGAUGAAAGUUCAGUUAAAACUCCAGUAGACUUAAAUCUACAUUUGGCCAAACAUAAAGGCAAGCCCGUAUCUCAGUUGGAGUACUCUCGAAUAAUAGGUAGUCUAAUGUAUAUUACCAACUGCACUCGUCCGGAUAUAGCAUAUACAGUGAACAAGUUUAGUAGAUUCUCAAGUAAUCCAAAUAAUGACCAUUGGAAGGCAUUGACAAGGGUUCUUAGAUAUCUACGAUACGCCUCAAAUGUUGGAUUACAUUAUACAAGAUAUCCAACUGUAUUAGAAGGAUACAGUGAUGCUAAUUGGAUAUCAGAUACAAAAGACUCAAAAUUCACUAUUGGUUAUAUCUUUACCAUCGGUGUUGCGGCCGUAUCUUGGAAAUCAUCUAAACAAACGUGUAUAGCUCCAUCCACGAUGAAAUCAGAGUUCAUAGCUUUAGAUAAAGUUGGAGAAGAAGCGGAAUGGCUUCGUAAUUUUUUAGAGGAUAUUUCAUGUUAGCCUAAACAUGUGCCUGCGGUUAGUAUACAUUGUGAUAGUCAGUCGGCUAUCGGUAGAGUACAAAGUAGUAUGUAUAAUGGUAAGUCUCGACAUAUCCGUCGAAGACAUAAUACAAUUAAGCAGUUGAUCUCGAAUAGUGUCAUUUCCAUAGAUUAUGUAAAAUCUAGAGAGAAUCUCGCGGAUCCGCUCACAAAAGGUUUACCAAUAGAUCAAAUGUACUGUCUAUCAAGGGGAAUGGGCUUAAAACCUACUAAGUAAGGAUCUUUGUAAUGAUAACCCAACCUUACUGAUUGGAGAUCCCAAGAUCUUGGUUCAAUGAGACAACUAAGUCAUGAAGAUUCAAAAAGCACUUCAGAGUUUACUCCCACCCAUUCCUAUGAUAAGAGAAGUGUUAUCUGCAAAAAGUCUUAGGUUAAGAUAUGCUUUUAAUGAUUCAUAUAUCUUGAAUUAUCCAAGUGGAGUAUGACAGAUACUCUUAAUAUGAAAUCACCUAUAUAAGUGUGAAGUGUGGUUGCUUCCAUGAAAAUGUUUCAAGGGCUUGAAUUCUCUAAAGCACUUAUGAAAUUCAAGAGUUGUUUAGGGCCAAAAUGAACACGACAAUGAGAACUCAAAAAUAUUAGGGAGGUUAUUGUGUUGAUGCUAUUGUCUUGGUUUACAAUAACGGCUGACAGUUCAAGACAUCACGCUCAUCGAUUAGCCAAGUAAAUCCGAUAGUAAUAUUAUGGAUGGUUCAAACCCAUAAGGUACCUAUUCAGAUGCAAUAACUUUUCGCCUGAUCCCUCGUUAGGGUCUGCAUCAUCUAUUGCAUUAAUUUUUAUUUAUGUGGGAGAUUGUUAGAAAAUUGGAAUAAUUAGUUGGUUUGACCAACUUUUGACCAAUUAUUUAAGUGGGUCCCGUUAGUUUGAUAAAUGAUUUAUUUGGCAAACUGCAUUCUACUCCAUGAGUAGAAUUGAUAAAUGUAUUUAUUUCUCGAAACUAAUUAAGGGCGAAUGAGAAAUUCAAGUCAAAAGAUGACUACUUGAAAUUGAAAUAAAUUGGGAAUAAAAAUUGGUGGGUAAUUGGAAAGUGUCAAUCCCACAUAGGAAAAUUAGAAUAAUAGAAACCACUUUAUAUAAUUCAAGUUAAGAACUUGGGUUUGGACCCUAAGGGGUACCACUAGUCUUUAGAGGGGAGAAGACCUACAUGUUAGUAGAUUCAGCUAAAGCCCACAUGCGCGCCGCCGUCCGUCCGACUGGCCGCUCGACACGGGUUGUGGUCGUGGGCUUGGGCCAGUUGAUAUAUAUAUUUUUGGUAAAAUAAUUAAAUAAUAUAUUUUUAUUAUAUUAUUUAUUUUUUCUUCCUUGAAUUUUCUGUGCGAGACACGUGGAUUCUUCUAUAGACUAACGGUUGGUGACAGUUUUAUCUGCCUGUCCAAAUGGGUUAUAUCUGUUCCAAGACACAACAUUUUGGUUGUUGUGUCUUUUGGGCACAACCUUUCAACUUCUAUAAAUAGACCCCAGAUCCCCGAUUUUAUUCACUCCAGAAAUUUUAUUAUACUUCCCUUCUCCUGUAAUAUUGUCCUUCCAUCCUGCAAUAUUCCAUAUAUUUUUGCAUUUCAAUCCCAAAUAUUAUUUUAGUGCAUUUUAGUCCUCCGAUUCUCGAGAGAUCAAAUAUUAGUAGGUUCGUCGGGUCUUGUAAUUUGGAGUGAUGCUAUUACAAGUCGAGGUCGUUAUAUCUUGGAAGAUAAGUGCCAGGAGACCGUCAGCACCAGUGCGGGGAAUUUUCGUCUUAAGGAGGAAGAGUCAAACUCUUAACUCGACCAUUAUUCAUUCUAAUUUAUUGUGCUAAUAUUGUAAGUCGAAAUUUUGCCCGAAUAUUUACUCGCUAUUUGAAAUUACCGCACAACAUUCUCGAAGAUUUUCAACAUAAGUUGGAAACGCAAAAUGGGGCCAACCUAGCCCAUUGGUGGGCUUGACGUGAAGACAAUUGCGGGCAGUUUCUAGCAUGGAAGGGCUGAAAAUUUUGGAAAACUGACCUAGCAGUUGGGAGCUGUCAACUGCAGUCCGAAUUAAAUGUUGGUGCAUUGAAAUGACAUGGAACAGCGAAUAUAUGUGAUGAGGCUACAAUAACAUGUUGAUCCCUCACUUAUUUUUGUACUCUAAAGUCAUUUUCUUUGUUUUAUAAACAUGAAGUUGGAAAAGGUUGCUCAAAAAUAUGUGUUUUACUUUAUUAUUUCGAUAAUUCAAUUUUCUAUAAUCUUUACUUAGUUCAAUUUGUGUGUUUCGAGAUCUGAAAGUGUUAAAUUUGAUCGUCGGCUGGCUGGGGACGAGAAACCUGGAUGAUAUUGCAGGUUUGUUGGAAAAUCCCUAUGACACCCGGCAUUUUACGCCCUUCUUUAUCAUAGUGUUUCAAGAAUCGAAUGGUCGAAAUCGAUAAACUAAUGAAUCCCAGUCUGGUUUAGUGAAACCAUUGAAUCAAGUAACAUGGAAGCUGCCCAACCAAUCUGCCACAUUGGUUCCUAUUGUUAUAGAGCUUGUCAAAAAAGUGUUUAUAAAGGGUUUUGUUUAUAAUAGCUAGAAAUGCGUGAUAGAUAAAUGUUUAUAAAGGGUUUUGUUUUAAUAUCACAUAUUCUUGAAUAAGAAUUGGUUUAACCUUUUUUGCCAUUUGUAAACUGUUUAUUAAAACUUGCCAAAUAUAGCUAUAAUUUUCACAUAUUAUGUUUAUGGUAUGUGGUAAUAACAUUAAUGGCAGCAGCUAUCGGAGGAUUGAUCUUUGGAUACGAUUGAUCUUUGGAUACGAUAUUGGUAUAGGGAAAAUUACACCAGAACGGGUAUUUAAAGAUCUCAAUUCAAAAAUCACACAAAGUAUUUUUAAUCAAAAAUCAGGUGCCAAUUUAAUAUUUUAAUAUUAAUAAUUAUAUUACAAAUUCAACCACCACCAAAACAAUCACCCACCCAAUUUCAAACCCUAAAUCUAAUCCAUUCUCUCUUUCACUCUUCCUUUUUCUCGUCAAAUCUCUCACUCUCCCUCUCCCUCUCCCUCUCCCUAAAGAUAAAUGAAUCUCCUCUCUCACUCCCCCUCUCCUCAGCGAGAUCCUUAAGUGGCAGCACUGUGCUCGAAUCUGCACUCCAGUUGUAGUAUGCUGCUACGGUGCUGUACGCACUUCUCGAUGACUAUAGCGACGAUACAUUUUUUACCCAUUUUUCUCUUCAAUGGAGGUUGAAGGCUGGCAGCAAACUGAGUACCGUCGUGCGCAGUACCAAAUCGUCGCUCCGCCUCGACCAACAGGCACAACAGCGAUCUUAUUUUGGUGGUGAGUGGUGAAUUACCUACACUCCCAAUAGCAGUUUUUUUAAUGUUUGUGGUUGAAAGCCGAUAAAGUUUAUGGUUUGUAUAUAGUUUGUGGGUUGUGAUUUGAAGUGGUGGAGGUAGUGCCACCAAUGAAUUUGGAGUUAUUUUUUAGAAUCUGAGGCGUACCAAUGGUUUUGUUAGAUCUAGUGGUGGCUGUAUUUGUUUUGUGUCAAUGGUAGAGAUGGAUCUGACAAUUGGGGUGGUUUUUGUUGAAUUUGGCGGUGGAUCUGGUAGUGGUUGGUUGACUGUGGCAGUGGUGUUUGUAGUUGAAAAUGAUGUUUUGUUUGUGGUUGUGGUGGUGAGUUGAAAAUGGAAGUUUGCUGAGGACGAUGACGGUGGUGGUAAGGUGGCAUUACUGUUGUACCCAAUUCACCGACAAAAGUAAAAUAAAUGAAAUGACCGGUGAUUGUCUUGGUUGUUGAGGCUGUGUCUGUGUUGCUAGAAGUGGGAUUGUAUUGGUAAUGGUGGCAAUAGGCUGUGAUGGUUGUGGUCUUCUUGAAUGGCUGUGAUGGUAGUGGUAUGUGAUGAGUUAUUUGGUGUAUGUGACCAAGUAUUCUAUUUUUUUGACCAAAUAUUGUGGUAGAUCGGGAUAAGAUGUUUGGUGUCUGUGACCAACUAUCUGGUCCCUGUGAUUAAUUAUUAAUUUGUGACCUUGAAAUUCGAUGGUGUGGUGCAAGCGGCAAUUGUGCGGUGGUGAUUUAUGAUCAAGAUUGGUGCUGGAUCGGGAUCGGUGGUGAUGGUAUUUGGUGCAUGUGACCAACUAUUUAGAAUAUAUGACCAAUAAAUUUGAACAUAUGUUACCUUGUGACUUGUAAUUUUUUUGGAUAUGUGAUCAAUGAAAUAAUUUGUGACUUGUAAAUUUUUUAUCUGUGACCUCGAAAUAAUGUGGCCUACAAAAUUUUUGAUUUGUGACCUCGAAAUAAUCUGUAACCAACUAAUUCGAUGAUAUAUGACCAAUAAGUAAAUCUGUGACCAUUAAUCGUGUAACUGUGACUUUAUUAUAUUUAAUUAAUAAUAUUUUCAAUUAAUUAUACAGAAACCUGAAUUUUGAAUUUUUAAACUUUGUACUUGAUUUGUGAAUUGGUGCAAACAAUACACAUGACAUAUGAAUUUUUCCCAUUGGUAUAUCAGGUGUUGAGACCAAAUAAAAGUGCGCCACAUUCUUGGCCCCUUUAAAGCUAUUGGGCCGGAUUUAUUGAAAUGGUCUUGGUCCAUUUACUAAGAGAAGUGCGAUCUCUUGAAAUGCAAUUUCUACCCUUCUUGAAGAUAUGAUCUGGCCAUUUCCUUAACGUUGAUCAAUGACCAUUAACUUACCUGAUUAAAACGUUUUGGACGCCUCAUUUUCUUCCAGAGAGAUCUAUUCUGAGUGUGUAUUCUAGGGUUUCUCUUUUCUCUCACACCACCGAUAUUUUCUGAGUGAAAAUCUCUUCUGUAAAUCUGAGUGAUUUUGAUACUACAGUUGAUGUAUAAUUGUGAUACUACUUCGUGCGAGUUUGUGGUGGUGUUGUGAUAGUUUUUUGUGAGGCAAGAUCAAAAACAGUGAAGAAACUUUGUGUUUCUUCGUACAUUUGUAACAUUCUUGGUUAAUUUUCUGGUAGAUCUAGAGCUAAAUCUACUUAGUAGAUGCUCAACGUGGUGAGUAGGCCGUAAGGUUGAACAUCCGAGCCUUUGUGGCGAAAAAAUCCUUCGUGUUCAAUUUCUUUUUUUCAGUGAAUCUUGCGAUAAUCUGUAUUCAUUUAACCUCUUGAGAACUUAUAUCAGGUAUAAAAUUUAGCCUUGUAAUUCUUUUUCAUGGUUGUGAUUAUUCAAGAAGACUUCUGGUUGAAGUUUCUUGGUUUUCUUGAUGCAGGUGGAUUUACUUCCAUGGCGCCUUUUCUGAAGAAAUUAUUUCCGUCUAUCUAUCAUAAACAGAUGGAUGAUACAUCAACUAAUCAAUACUGCAAGUUUGACAGCCGGAUUUUGACACUUUUUACGUCAUCCCUCUAUUUGGCUGCCCUUGUAGCGUCCUUUUUUGGAUCAACAAUGACCAAGAAAUUUGGCGGGAGAAAGUCGAUGAUGCUUGGUGGAAUAAUUUUCUUGGUUGGUGCCAUAAUCAAC
rnacentral:lncRNA from 1 species